rnacentral:rRNA from 1 species
GAUGAACGCUGGCGGCGUGCCUAAUACAUGCAAGUCGAGCGAACGGACGAGAAGCUUGCUUUUCUGAUGUUAGCGGCGGACGGGUGAGUAACACGUGGAUAACCAACCUAUAAGACUGGGAUAACUUCGGGAAACCGGAGCUAAUACCGGAUAAUAUUUUGAACCGCAUGGUUCAAAAGUGAAAGACGGUCUUGCUGUCACUUAUAGAUGGAUCCGCGCUGCAUUAGCUAGUUGGUAAGGUAACGGCUUACCAAGGCAACGAUGCAUAGCCGACCUGAGAGGGUGAUCGGCCACACUGGAACUGAGACACGGUCCAGACUCCUACGGGAGGCAGCAGUAGGGAAUCUUCCGCAAUGGGCGAAAGCCUGACGGAGCAACGCCGCGUGAGUGAUGAAGGUCUUCGGAUCGUAAAACUCUGUUAUUAGGGAAGAACAUAUGUGUAAGUAACUGUGCACAUCUUGACGGUACCUAAUCAGAAAGCCACGGCUAACUACGU